rnacentral:rRNA from 1 species
UACGUAGGGUGCGAGCGUUAAUCGGAAUUACUGGGCGUAAAGCGUGCGCAGGUGGUCAUGCAAGACAGAUGUGAAAUCCCCGGGCUUAACCUGGGAACUGCAUUUGUGACUGCACGGCUAGAGUGCGGCAGAGGGGGAUGGAAUUCCGCGUGUAGCAGUGAAAUGCGUAGAUAUCAGGAGGAACACCGAUGGCGAAGGCAGGUCUCUGGGCUGACACUGACGCUCAUGCACGAAAGCGUGGGGAGCGAACAGG